rnacentral:lncRNA from 1 species
UGGAUUGUGUCUAUAUGGCAUAUACACUAAACGAUGCAUUUUCAAAAUCUGUUAAGAUUGUUGAUGGCCAAGUGGUCUACCUAGUUUAACUACUGUAUCACUAGCCUGUCAACACUGAGGUUUGGGGCAGGUGCACUCGACUCCAAUCCUAAUUGACUAAGAUUGUCAGUUUUCUGAUGGAUGGUUGGUGGUUCUCUGAUGGCACUCUGUCUUCCUCCACCAAUAAAAACUGACAGCCACGAAAUAGCACAAUGGUGUUGAAUAAAGGCAGUAGUUGUUUACCAAUGUUCAAUAUUAAUAAAUCGAUGAAGCAAAAACAAAUAUGGGUCAUAAACUAAAACUGAGGGAAAGACGUGUACGCCAACUAUAAAAGCAAAACAUUGAUGGAACAGCAAAAUCACUGAGCCUGCAACAAAAAUUGGAGUUAAACACCAAUAAAUCAAAAUAUUUUACAUUCUAUUUUGUUUUGUCAAACGUCUGUUAGUUGAUGGCCACCAGGAUAAAUGCACAUUUUACAUAAGGCUUCGGGUUCUUGGGAUUAAAACAAAACUUUGGUUAACCCGAAAUUCCUCCCGAGUCUGUAUAUGCCUAUUAAGGGCACAGUAGUACAUCGCUGUUCAAUAUCAUAAAUCGAUUCAGCUAAAACAAAUUGGGGUUUAAAACC